rnacentral:rRNA from 1 species
GAAAGAUUCAUCGGAAGAGGAUGGGCAUGCGGCGCAUUAGCUAGACGGCGGGGUAACGGCCCGCCGUGGCGACGAUGCGUAGGGGUUCUGAGAGGAAGGUCCCCCACACUGGUACUGAGACACGGACCAGACUCCUACGGGAGGCAGCAGUGAGGAAUAUUGGUCAAUGGGAGAGAUCCUGAACCAGCCAAGCCGCGUGAGGGAAGACAGCCCUAUGGGUUGUAAACCUCUUUUGUCGGAGAACAAAACCCGGGACGUGUCCCGGACUGCGUGUAUCCGAAGAAAAAGCAUCGGCUAACUCCGUGCCUGCAGCCGCGGUAAUACGGAGGAUGCGAGCGUUAUCCGGAUUUAUUGGGUUUAAAGGGUGCGUAGGCGGUCCGUUAAGUCAGCGGUAAAAUUGCGGGGCUCAACCCCGUCGAGCCGUUGAAACUGGCAGACUUGAGUUGGCGAGAAGUACGCGGAAUGCGCGGUGUAGCGGUGAAAUGCAUAGAUAUCGCGCAGAACUCCGAUUGCGAAGGCAGCGUACCGGCGCCAGACUGACGCUGAGGCACGAAAGCGUGGGGAUCGAACAGGAUUAGAUACCCUGGUAGUCCACGCAGUAAACGAUGAAUGCUGGUUGUCCGGGUCGAAUGAGAUCUGG